rnacentral:rRNA from 1 species
AUUGAACGCUGGCGGCAGGCCUAACACAUGCCAGUCGAACGGUAACAGGAAGAAGCUUGCUUCUUUGCUGACGAGUGGCGGACGGGUGAGUCAUGUCUGGGAAACUGCCUGAUGGAGGGGGAUAACUACUGGAAACGGUAGCUAAUACCGCAUAACGUCGCAAACCCAAAGAGGGGGACCUUCGGGCCUCUUGCCAUCGGAUUUGCCCAGAUGGGAUUAGCUAGUAGGUGGGGUAACGGCUCACCUAGGUGACGAUCCCUAGCUGGUCUGAGAGGAUGACCAGCCACACUGGAACUGAGACACGGUCCAGACUCCUACGGGAGGCAGCAGUGGGGAAUAUUGCACAAUGGGCGCAAGCCUGAUGCAGCCAUGCCGCGUGUAUGAAGAAGGCCUUCGGGUUGUAAAGUACUUUCAGCGGGGAGGAAGGGAGUAAAGUUAAUACCUUUGCUCAUUGACGUUACCCGCAGAAGAAGCACCGGCUAACUCCGUG